UUCGAAAAAUGUUGGCAUUGAAGUGUCUUACUUAGUGUAAGAAUUUACUACUCUCUUUGAAAAAACUCAAAAGAGUCGAGAGAACAUGUUUUAUAUGCUACCUAAUGAGUUUUGCAAAUUCUUACAUUGAAUUCCUUCAUAUAAGAUGAGUAGUGUUGAAAAGAAACAUGUUUCAAUACUAUUUUUUUUAACUUCAUCGUACUACUUUGGCAGUUGUUAUGUUUCCAUUGAUAGAGGAGUAUCAUAAAGUUCAAAACAACAUAUGGGUGAACUGAACGCUUUCAUCUG
rnacentral:lncRNA from 1 species